CCUACGGGCGGCAGCAGUAGGGAAUCUUUCACAAUGGGCGAAAGCCUGAUGGAGCAACGCCGCGUGCAGGAUGAAGGCCUUCGGGUUGUAAACCGCUUUUAUCAGCGAGAAAAAUGACGGUAACUGAUGAAUAAGGAUCGGCUAACUACGUGCCAGCAGCCGCGGUCAUACGUAGGGUGCGAGCAUUAUCCGGAGUGACUGGGUGUAAAGAGGGCGUAGGUGGCAUAAUAAGUAGCUAGUGAAAGCUGGUGGCUCAACCAUUCAGACUAUUAGCUAAACUGUUAAGCGCGAGGCCGGUAGGGGUAACUGGAAUUUCUAGUGUAGGGGUGAAAUGCGUAGAUAUUAGAAGGAACACCAAUAGCGAAGGCAGGUUGCUGGGACGUUUCUGACGCUAAGGCACGAAAGCGUAGGGAGCAAACGGGAUUAGAUACCCUUGUAGUC
rnacentral:rRNA from 1 species